ensembl:lncRNA
UGCUGACCCCAUACUGACCCCAUAAGAGACCCCAUAAGGGAUCCCAUCGCUGACCCCAUAAGAGACCCCAUAAGGAGUCCCAUCGCUGACCCCAGAAGCGACCCCAUAAGGGAUCCAAUUGCUGACCCCCUAAGAGACCCUAUAAGUGACCCCAUAAGGGAUCCCAUCGCUGACCCCAUACUGACCCCAUAACUGAUCCCAUAAGUGACCCCAUAAGGGAUCCCAUUGCUGACCCCAUACUGACCCCAUAAGUGACCCCAUAAGGGAUCCCAUUGCUGAACCCAUACUGACCCCAUAAGGCAGCCCAUAAAUGACCCCAUAAGGGAUCCCAUUGCUGACCCCAUACUGACCCCAUAAGUGACCCCAUAAGGGAUCCCAUCGUUGACCCCAUAAGUGAACCCAUAAGGGAUCCCAGUGCUGACCCCAUAAGUGACCCCAUAAGGGAUCCCACGCUGACCCAUAAUGCCCCAUAAGUGACCGCAGAAGGGAUCCCAUUGCUGACCCCAUACUGACCCCAUAAGUGACCCCAUAAGGGAUCCGAUUGCUGACCCCAUACUGACCCCAUAAGAGACCCCAUAAGGGUUCCCAUCGCUGACCCCAUAAGAGACCCCAUAAGGAGUCCCAUCGCUGACCCCAGAAGCGACCCCAUAAGGGAUCCAAUUGCUGACCCCCUAAGAGACCCUAUAAGUGACCCCAUAAGGCAUCCCAUCGCUGACCCACACUGACCCCAGAAGUGACCCCAUAGAGAUCCCAUCACUGACCCCAUAAGUGCCCCAUAAGUGACCCCAGAAGGGAUCCCAUACUGACCCCAUAAGAGACCCCAUAAGGAAUCCCAUCGCUGACCCCAGAAGCAACCCCAUAAGGGAUCCAAUUGCUGACCCAAACUGACCCCAUAAGUGACCCCAUAAGGGAUCCCAUCGCUGACCCCAUACUGACCUCAUAAGAGACCCCAUAAGGCAUCCCAUCGCUGACCCCAUAACUGAACACAGUGGUGCCCCCAUAACAGCCCAAUAGAGCUGCACAGUGACCCCAUAGAGCCCCACAGUGACCCCAUAGAGCCCCAUAGUGACCCCAUAACUGCCCCAUAGUGACCCCAUAGAGCUCCAUAGUGAACCCAUAACUGCCCCAUAGUGACCCCAUAGAGUCCCAUAGUGACCCCAUAACUGCCCCACAGUGACCCCAUAGAGCCCCGUAGUGACCCCAUAGAGCCCCAUAGGGACCCCAUAGAGCUCCAUAGAGACCCCAUAGAGCUCCAAGGUGACCCCAUAGAGCUCCAUAGGGACCCCAAAGAGCUCCAUAAUGACCCCAUAACUGCCCCAUAGCGAGCCCAUAGGGUUCCAUAGAGACCCCAUAACAGCCCCAUAGUGACCUCAUUGAGGCCCAUAGUGACCCCAUAGAGCCCCAUAGGGACCCCAGAGAGCUCUGUAAUGACCCCAUAGAGCUCCACAGUGACCCCAUAAAGCCCCACAGUGUCCCCAUAGAGCCGCAUAGGGACCCCAUAGAGCCCCAUAGGGACCCCAUAGAGCUCCAUCGUGACCCCAUAGAGCCCCACAGUGACCCCAUAGAGCCCCAUAGGGACUCCACAGAGCCCUAUAGGGACCCCAAAGAGCCCCAUAGGGACCCCAUAACAGCCCCAUAGCGACCCUAUAGAGCUCAAUAGGCACCCCAUAUACCUCCAUAGUGACCCCAUAGAGCUCCACGGUGACCCCAUAACAGCCCCAUAGUGACCCCAUAGAGCUCCACGGUGACCCCAUAGAACCCCACAGUGUCCCCAUAGAGCCCCAUAGGGACCCCAUAGAGCCCCAUAGUGACCCCAUAGAGCUCCAUAAUGACCCAAUCACAGCAGCAUAGUGACCCCAUAGAGCCCCAUAGUGACCCCAUAACAGCCCCAUAGCGACCCCAUAGAGCUCAAAAGGGACCCCAUAUACCUCCAUAGUAACCCCAUAGAGCUCCACGGUGACCCCAUAACAGCCCCAUAGUGACCCCAUAGAGCCCCAGAGUGACCCCAUAGAGCCCCACAGUGUCCCCAUAGAGCCCCAUAGGGACCCCAUAGAGCCCCACAGUGACGCCAUAGAGCCCCACAAUGACCCCAUAGAGCCCCAUAGGGACUCCAUAGAGCCACAUAGUGACCCCAUAGAACCCCAUAAUGACCCAAUAGAGCCACACAGUGACCCCAUAGAGCCCCAUAGUGACACCAGAACUGCCCCAUAGUGACCCCAUAGAGUUCCAUAGAGACCCCAUUACAGCCCCAUAGUGACCCCAUAGAGCCCCACAGUGUCCCCAUAGAGCCCCAUAGUGACCCCAUAGAGCCCCACAGUGACCCCAAUGAGCCCCAUAGUGACCCCAUAGAGCCACAUAGGGACUCCAUAGAGCCCUAUAGGGACCCCAAAGAGCCCCAUAGGGACCCCAGAGAGCUCCGUAAUGACCCCAUAGAGCCCCACAGUGACCCCAUAACUGCCCCAUAAUGACCCCAUUAGGGCCCAUAGGGACCCCAUAGAACCCCAUUGUGACCUCAUUGGGGCCCAU